AACGAACGCUGGCGGCAUGCCUAACACAUGCAAGUCGAACGAGACCUUCGGGUCUAGUGGCGCACGGGUGCGUAACGAGUGGGAACCUGCACGUAGGUUCGGAAUAACUCACCGAAAGGGGUGCUAAUACCGGAUAAUGUAUUCGGACCAAAGAUUUAGUGCCUUUGGUUGGGCUCGCGUUGGAUUAGCUGGUUGGUUGGGUAAAGGCCUACCAAGGCGACGAUGGGUAGCUGGUCUGUGAGGAUGACCGGCCACGCUGGGCCGGAGAUAAGGCCCAGCCUCCUACCGGAGGGAGCAGUGGGGAGGAUUGUAUUAUGGGCGGGAGAAUGCUGUAGCAACGCCGCGCGCGGGAUGACGGCCUUCCGUUUGUAAACCGCUUUCGUCUGUGACGAAGCGUUAGUGACGGUAAUGGGUAAAGAAGCACCGGCUAACUCCGUG
rnacentral:rRNA from 1 species